CAAACGACUCUCGGCAACGGAUAUCUCGGCUCACGCAUCGAUGAAGAACGUAGCAAAAUGCGAUACUUGGUGUGAAUUGCAGAAUCCCGUGAACCAUCGAGUUUUUGAACGCAAGUUGCGCCCGAAGCCACUCGGCCGAGGGCACGUCUGCCUGGGCGUCACGCA
rnacentral:rRNA from 1 species